rnacentral:rRNA from 1 species
GACGAACGCUGGCGGCGUGCUUAACACAUGCAAGUCGAACGGAAAGGCCCUGCUUUUGUUGGUUGCUCGAGUGGCGAACGGGUGAGUAACACGUGAGUAACCUGCCCUUCACUUUGGUAUAACUUCACGAAACUGGGGCUAAUACCGGAUAGGAUCUCCUGCUGCAUGGUGGGGGUUGGACAGUUUCGGCGGUUGGGGCUGGACUCGCGGGUCAUGAGCUUGUUGGUGGGGUAGUGGCUUACCACGGCUUGGACGGGUGGCCGGCCUGAGAGGGUGGCCGGCCACAUUGGGACUGAGAUAGGGCCCAGACGCCUACGGGAGGCAGCAGUGGGGAAUAUUGCGCAAUGGGCGGAAGCCUGAUGCAGCGGCGCCGCGUGCGGGAUGACGGCCUUCGGGUUGUGAACCGCUUUCGCCUGUGACGAAGCGUGAGUGACGGUAAUGGGUAAAGAAGCACCGGCUAACUACGUG